GAUGAACGCUGGCGGCGUGCCUAAUACAUGCCAGUCGAGCGAACAGAUAAUGAGCUUGCUCCUUUGACGUUAGCGACGGACGGGUGGGUAACACGUGGAUAACCUUCCUAUAAGUCUGGGAUAACUUCGGGAAACCGGAGCUAAUACCGGAUAACAUAUUCAACCGCAUGGAUCAAUAGUGCUAGGCGGCUUUGCUGUCACUUAUAGAUGGAUCCGCGUCGUAUUAGCUAGUUGGUAAGGUAACGGCUUACCAAGGCAACGAUCCGUAGCCGACCUGAGAGGAUGAUCAGCCACACUGGAACUGAGACACGGUCCAGACUCCUACGGGAGGCAGCAGUAGGGAAUCUUGCACAAUGGGCGAAAGCCUGACGGAGCCACGCCGCGUGAGUGAUGAAGGUCUUCGGGUCGUAAAGCUCUGUUAUCAGGGAAGAAAAACUGUGUAAGUAACUGUGGACAUUUUGACGGUACCUGAACAGAAAGCCACGGCUAACUACGUG
rnacentral:rRNA from 1 species